GACGAACGCUGGCGGCGUGCCUAAUACAUGCAAGUUGAGCGCUGAAGGUUGGUACUUGUACCGACUGGAUGGGCAGCGAACGGGUGAGUAACGCGUGGGGAAUCUGCCUUUGAGCGGGGGACAACAUUUGGAAACGAAUGCUAAUACCGCAUAAAAACUUUAAACACAAGUUUUAAGUUUGAAAGAUGCAAUUGCAUCACUCAAAGAUGAUCCCGCGUUGUAUUAGCUAGUUGGUGAGGUAAAGGCUCACCAAGGCGAUGAUACAUAGCCGACCUGAGAGGGUGAUCGGCCACAUUGGGACUGAGACACGGCCCAAACUCCUACGGGAGGCAGCAGUAGGGAAUCUUCGGCAAUAGACGAAAGUCUGACCGAGCAACGCCGCGUGAGUGAAGAAGGUUUUCGGAUCGUAAAACUCUGUUGGUAGAGAAGAACGUUGGUGAGAGUGGAAAGCUCAUCAAGUGACGGUAACUACCCAGAAAGGGACGGCUAACUACGUG
rnacentral:rRNA from 1 species